CAGCCACCCUUUCCUCUCCUCUCUGCCCCUCAGCGCCCAUUCGUGCUUCUUGCCACUCUCGCCGCCGCUGCCUUCGCCGCCGCCGCUGUUCCCGUCGCUGUCGCUAGUGGCUGUCGCCCUUCCGUCGCUGUUGUUGCUGAUUUUCCUGCCGCUGCUGCUGUUCCCGUGGGUGUCGCAUAGUGCUGUCGCGUCGCCGUCGCUGUCCCCUCGCCGUCGUCGUCAUUGCUGUUCCCGUGGGUGUCGCGUGUUGCCUUCGACUCGCCGUCGCUGUCCCCUUCGUCUCGCCGUCGCUGUCCCCUCGCCGUCGCCGCCGUUGCCACCCGCUGCUGCAGCUGCCGAUCGUCGCCACU
rnacentral:lncRNA from 1 species